GACAGAGGGUGCAAACGUUGUUCGGAAUUACUGGGCGUAAAGCGCGUGUAGGCGGCCGGGCAUGUCGGAUGUGAAAUCCCGUGGCUCAACCACGGAAGUGCACCCGAAACUGCCCAGCUUGAGUCUCGGAGAGGAAGGCGGAAUGCUUGGUGUAGAGGUGAAAUUCGUAGAUAUCAAGCGGAACACCGGUGGCGAAGGCGGCCUUCUGGACGAUGACUGACGCUGAGACGCGAAAGCGUGGGGAGCAAACAGG
rnacentral:rRNA from 1 species